CGCGGGGAUUCGUUGGAGGCUAACGGCUGCCGCGCGAGCGUUGCCAGCCCCGGCUUCCAAAGGGACCACAGUGAACACAGCGAUAGGUAAAUAAAUAAAUUGGGUGAAAACCGGUUGCAUCUGCACUGUUGAAGAGGCCUACCUGAACAGAAGUUCAUUGGCAGAUUAUUGUGAAUAUAUUCAGUUAUUAACCUCCAUGGAGAAAGAAAAGAAAGCGAGACUUUCCCUCCUGGUCUUUCAGAUCAAUAAAAUUUAAGACAGCUGACUGUGCCGAUAUAUGUGAAAUGCAAAACCUAAAAUGCAGAAUGAAGAUUUGAUUGAUUAAUUUGAAGAGUUGUGAAUCAACUAGAUCCACUACCACGGCACCGAAUUGAUUCUGUCUUUUUACUGCUUGUUAAUGCCUGCUUAAUACCAUAGCAUCAGCAUUGGAGACUUUAUUACAAUUAAGACAAUUGUAAAAUGAGGCAAUCUUCAGUGGAAAGGUUGAGAAGACCAGUCUCACAUUGCAGCCCAUCGAAGCAGAUUUCCACCAUAUAAUGCAUUUUUAGAGCAUUGAUCCAAUUAUCACGGCUGACUCAACAUAUCUUCAAGCAGAGAUGAGCUGCUUUGCAGUUGUAUGUACUGAAGGAAGAUGAAGAGAGAGCAAUCAUUUUCUUUUUUCUGUGUCAGCACACCUGAACCUGAACCAGGCCUCCAAGUAGGAUUAGUAUUGGAAUCAGUGGAAGAGUUUGAAGUUUUUGUAUAAAACCGUGAAGCAAAAUUAAAAGGAAGACUGAGAAGAAACAU